AUUGACUCACCGGAGAAGGAUUUGGAAAUUGUUUUCUCUUUAGGCUAUAAGUUUACACAGAGAAAAGAAGUCACAGAUUCCCCUCUGUGGAGCGAUGCUGGCUCGUUACCACUCGGGCUCUAAGCCCGCCUGAUCGUUUAUUGAAUUACUCCAAAUGCUUGUGCACAAUUUCACUAUCUUAUUAAUACACUUGUUCCAUAGGCACCCACGGAGCCACAGGCCAGGUGCCCGCGUCCCCUUCCCCGCCUGGAGCCUCAGGUCAGCAGGUUCGGCCAGGACUUGCGUGAUGCGCUUUGCAGGGUGAAUGACUUCGGUGGCUACACGGGUGAAGUCAACGACAUACGGCUGCAGAGGACACAAGGUUCCGUUCAGGAAUUCCUGACCUGACCAGCCGCGGAGUCGCUCCCACGAAAGCUGUGUCCCAGCAAAGACGUUUUGUUGGAAGAAAUGCCGGCCACCUUUCUGUCUCCAGGGCACCUGGCUGCUGCGAAAUGUCAUAAAGUGUUGAAAUGGAGGCCCAUAAACACUUUCGAACGCAGGUUCCAGAACGGCAGUGUGGUUUGAGAAACAUGCGAAAAACAUGACCUUUUCUCACCUUAAUUUAUUCUUCUCCUCUUAUUACCUUAAAAAUUGUUACGGCUUUGGGGCGCCUGGGUGGCUCAGUCAGUUAAGCCUCCGACUUCAGCUCAGGUCAUGAUCUCACAGCUCAUGGGUUCAAGCCCCGCGUCAGUCUCUGUGCUGACAGCUCAGAGCCUGGAGCGUGCUUCAAAUUCUCUCUCUCUCUCUCUCUCUCUCUCUCUCUCUCUCUCUCUGCCCCUCCCCUGUUCACACUCUG